rnacentral:rRNA from 1 species
UACGGAGGGUGCAAGCGUUAUCCGGAUUCACUGGGUUUAAAGGGUGCGUAGGCGGGCAGGUAAGUCCGUGGUGAAAUCUCUGAGCUUAACUCAGAAACUGCCAUGGAUACUAUUUGUCUUGAAUAUUGUGGAGGUAAGCGGAAUAUGUCAUGUAGCGGUGAAAUGACUUAGAUAUGACAUAGAACACCAAUUGCGAAGGCAGCUUACUACACAGUUAUUGACGCUGAGGCACGAAAGCGUGGGGAUCAAACAGG